rnacentral:rRNA from 1 species
GACGAACGCUGGCGGCGCGCUUUAUGCAUGCAAGUCGAACGGACCUUCGGGUCAGUGGCGGACGGCUGAGUAACGCGUAGGCAAUCUGCCCAGUGGUGGGGGAGUAACUCGCCGAAAGGUGAGCUAAUACCGCAUAAGUUCGGUGGUUGAAAUACCACCGAGGAAAGCAGCAAUGCACCACUGGAGGAGCCUGCGUCCUAUCAGGUAGUUGGUGGGGUAACGGCCUACCAAGCCGAUGACGGGUAGCUGGUCUGAGAGGACGACCAGCCAGAAGGGGACUGAGACACGGCCCCUACUCCUACGGGAGGCAGCAGCAAGGAAUCUUGGGCAAUGGGCGAAAGCCUGACCCAGCGACGCCGCGUGAGGGAUGAAGGCC